GUAUUUCAUUAUUAUAGGCACAUAGGCCCAUUGAUCACAUUCUACAACAUACUAUGUGGUAUAUGAAUACAUAGUACUCGAGGGAGAAGUCAUUUGAGAAGAGCUGUAUGCUUUCGCACUCAGCAAUCCUCAUGUCCGGAAAGGCCAUAGCCAUCCGAUAGUCGACUGCUCUAAACCCCCAAGACUACAAAAGGUGCACAGGUGGACGAAUAAAGUCAAGACAAGUGUGCACAUGCUCCGGAGAGCCAGCUACAACCCAUCAAGAAUAUUCAAUAAUGAUCCUUCCGCAGGUUCACCUACGGAAA
rnacentral:misc_RNA from 1 species